UGACUCUUUCCUAUAAUAAUACAUUACAUUUUGUUGAGCGCUUUUCAUUUCCAGAUGUAAAUCCCAAUGCUCUUUACAGAGAAACCAUUCAAAGAAAAAAGCUUUAGUGAAAGAACUAAAGACAUUAGGUGAGGUUUGAAGAUACUUUACUUUAUUAAUUCAACCAUAAAAAUAAAAAAAAUAAAAAAAACAAGCACACACAAAACUUGGAAAAAGCCAUACAUGCACAUGAGAUAAAUCAUGGAGGAUAACACACAAUAAAGUCUGGGACUUAUUUCCAUUGUGGUCCUCUUGAAACAAGAGGGUUAGUCAAGAUCCAACACGGUUGAACACAGUAUUACAGCGAGAUAUAAAAACUAAGAAGAACAACAUCUCAUCACACACAAGACACACAGAAUAAUAAAGGAGGCGACAAGGACGGAACAGUACAACUUGGAACGUAAACACCAACAGACAACACAACAUAGAUGACAUAAAGUGAAACACAGUUUGAAGAAGUGUUUUUCUGCGUUUCUUUGGGGACUGCAAGGAGUCUUUGAUCAUUUGACCGGAGUGAACCUGUUGACUGUUUGGAGCUGAGGAGGACACUGAGUUAUUGGGGACCAGAGGCAUUGAGGGUUUUUUGAAGACUAACAGGAGGGUUUUGAAGUUGGUUUUGAAUUAGGUGGGUAGCCAGUGGAGGCUAGAAUGGGGGUGAUGUGGGCAGAUCUCGGCGCUGUUCUGCACAAUCUGCAUCCUGUGGAUGCUUUUUGAGGGGGAGACCAUCAAGGAGGGCAUUGCAGUCAUCGAGUCGGGAGGUGACGAGGGAGGUAACCAGCAGGUUUGGAGAGAACAGGUGAUGUUUCUCAGGUGAAAUAAAACUUUUUUUUUGCAGACCUAUUUUUUUUUUUGUCGGAGAAAGUGAGGGGUCCAGUAACACUCCAAGGUUGGAGACUGAGGAGGARAGAGUGGCCGCCAAAGACUACACUCUACCUGAGCCGACCUAUGCCAUACCUAUGCCCUACCUGAACCCUAGCAUUUCGAUACAAUCGCAAUAACAUCCGCUAACCAUGUGUAUGUGACCAAUAACAUUUGAUUUGAUUUAUUACCUAUCAACUGGUCCUAAUGUAGCAGCCAGGUGUGUGCUAAACAGGGAUGGAACACGAGCGUUCCACCACCAUUCCACCUGAGCCUAUACCCCCAGUCCUUUACCAGUUUACCUGUUCCUUAUGUAGCAGGUGUGAGCUGAACAGGGAUGGAACCACGUAUGUCUUUGGACAGAACUACAGUGUUACACUACCAUUCCAUCUACUGGCAUACCCAAGCCCCAAUACUUGUACAUUACAGCAUUAUCAUCUACCCUGAGCGAUAUACUACAAAGCAGAAUCAAUGAGUUAGCCAUGUAACUUUGAUAAGCAACCAGAAAUAACUCUUUUACUUUAUUGUUGAUUUUUUUUUUUUUAAGGGAAAAAAAGCUCAACCUAGAAAAGUAUUUUUUGUUUGGUUAAAUGAGACCAUGCCUAUUUCAAGCUCAUCUUUAUUACAAAAUAAAARGUUAUAUCAGAAUAUUUAGGCAACUUAGCUAUCUAACACUUUGAUCCUGCUUUGAAGUGUACCCCUCUGGUUCUGUGCUCUCCAGUCCAACACCAGCACUUGCUUUACCACUGUCAGUAAAGUAUUACACCAGCAUCUUCUUAUUCAUUUAAAGUAUGAAAACAUUGCA